UCCAGCCAACUAAUACAACUCCAGACCAUUUAUUGAGUUAUGAGUUCUGGAGAAUUGUGUAUAAAUCUAUUUUCAAUUUCUCUCAAUUUAUGAUUGACUAUAUUACCAUUUCUCAUACUUAAACACUUCUGGAGUGCACCUGAAGUAAAGGCAGAAACACAAGCAGGCUCCAUGCAGGAAGCCCGACGUAGACUCAGUCCUGGGUCUCCAGGAUCACACCCCGGGCUGCAGAGAAUUCUUCAGAAUCUGUUUCUGAAAGCUAUUUUGUGCCACCUUCAACUGACUGGAAGACUAUGUUUGGGAGAAUGAUGUGAAAUGUUAUCUUUGGAUGUUGGAGAUAAUUCUUUAAAGCACUGUAGUAUUUGGA